rnacentral:rRNA from 1 species
CCUACGGGUGGCAGCAGUGGGGAAUCUUGCGCAAUGGGCGAAAGCCUGACGCAGCAACGCCGCGUGCGGGAUGACAGCCUUCGUGGUUGUAAACCGCUUUCAGCAGGGACGAAAAUGACGGUACCUGCAGAAGAAGCUCCGGCUAACUACGUGCCAGCAGCCGCGGUAAUACGUAGGGAGCAAGCGUUGUCCGGAUUCAUUGGGCGUAAAGAGCUCGUAGGCGGUUCAGUAAGUCGGGUGUGAAAGCUCCGAGCUCAACUCGGAGAGGCCACCCGAUACUGCUGUGACUAGAGUCCAGUAGGGGAGCGUGGAAUUCCUGGUGUAGCGGUGAAAUGCGCAGAUAUCAGGAGGAACACCAGCGGCGAAGGCGGCGCUCUGGGCUGGAACUGACGCUGAGGAGCGAAAGCGUGGGUAGCAAACAGGAUUAGAUACCCUAGUAGUC